rnacentral:rRNA from 1 species
GAUGAACGCUGGCGGCGUGCCUAAUACAUGCAAGUCGAGCGAAUGGAUUAAGAGCUUGCUCUUAUGAAGUUAGCGGCGGACGGGUGAGUAACACGUGGGUAACCUGCCCAUAAGACUGGGAUAACUCCGGGAAACCGGGGCUAAUACCGGAUAACAUUUUGAACCGCAUGGUUCGAAAUUGAAAGGCGGCUUCGGCUGUCAAUUAUGGAUGGACCCGCGUCGCAUUAGCUAGUUGGUGAGGGAACGGCUAACCAAGGCAACGAUGCGUAGCCGACCUGAGAGGGUGAUCGGCCACACUGGGACUGAGACACGGCCCAGACUCCUACGGGAGGCAGCAGUAGGGAAUCUUCCGCAAUGGACGAAAGUCUGACGGAGCAACGCCGCGUGAGUGAUGGAGGCUUUCGGGUCGUAAAACUCUGUUGUUAGGGAAGAACAAGUGCUAGUUGAAUAAGCUGGCACCUUGACGGUACCUAACCAGAAGGCCACGGCUAACUACGUGCCAGCAGCCGCGGUAA